rnacentral:lncRNA from 1 species
CUUUUGUACUUGCUGGACAGACUGCUGCCACGCCGGCUGGCUAGGUUGCUCUAAUCAGACAACACUAAUUAGGACCAUGAAGAUGGAAUAUAGGGAUAUUUCAUGUACUGUCAGAGUGAAUGAAGUCAACACACUCAAGGUCAUCAAGAGUACUUCCUCGCUGUCUACAGACAGCCCCUGAUCAAUCUGUUUUGAGAGUGAAACAACUGAUGGAAAAGUUAGAUGAUUACAAACAAAAUGUUGUUGGGGUUUAGUGUCUGGAAACAAUACAUACUGCAAACAGAACACUGAAACAACAUCAGUAAUAUAGAAAGUUUAGGUGCGCUUAUGAGGAAACCUAAGUGUUUUUUUCCAUGUAGGAAACAAGAAAGGAUCGCUGGCCUGUGAGCUUCUGGGAAUAACUGUAUCUCUGGCUUCUAUGUCAUCAAAGGAGCACUUGGAAUACCACAGCUGGUGGUACAUAUUCAUCAAUAGUAAAAUGGAUGUAAUACAUAAUUGCAUAGGUUCUGGCAAUUUAACUAACAUCAUCAAGCUUACCCAUGCCCAAGUUUCACUCUCUUUAUUAGAUGGUUGAAACACACAUGCACACUUUCCCAUUUAUAUAUGCUUAGCACAUGAUAUACAUUUCAUACAUUCUAAAUAGGGUUACACCAAUCUUUUUCUACAUACCCCUCAUCUUGAGAUUGUUCAGCUAGUGAUUUUCUUGUCUUUUCCCACUAGGGGAUUAUCGGUGAUAUUUACAGUUUAUUGAGCAUUUGUCACAUGGCAUCAUCCUUUGAUUUCAUUUUCACAGCAAUGCUUGCGACUGUAGUCUUGGUCAAACAUUUUGUGGAUGAAGAAAAUUUUGUGACUCAUUGUCCAAGAUCACCCUGCUGCAUCACAAAUAAAGUGGUAUCCAAUCCUACUCUACUUUUAUUGAAAGCUCAUGCAAAUAAUAUGCUUUAUUACAUUUUCCUGCUACAGUAGUCCAUAUUCUAGCUGCCUGAAAAAAUUCAUUGUUUUCAAAACUCACCCCACUUUCUGCAUCUAUGUUGGUGGAAUUGUAUAUACCCAUGAUAACCUACCUCAAUGUGGACAUUGCUGAGGAAAUAUUUUUCCUGAGUCAAAUGUGCAAUUGCUUCUGGUUCUUGAUCUUCAUACUUGAGCACUUUAUUCAUGCUGUAAAUCUAUAACAGAAUUUAAAUCUAGCACUUCUGUGUCAUGUAUACUCUUAUACAUCAAGACCUACAGCUUAUUUCUCAAAAAACUAAGCCAUUAAUAAUUAAUGGUUUACUGAUAACUAUCUCUACCAUACCUCACAUUUCUGAAAACUAUGUCUGUG